rnacentral:lncRNA from 1 species
CCCAGUGAGCAGAAUAAUACAACAUUAUAUUUAAAAUUCAUGCUUUCAUGAAAUGCAUCACAUCACAACAAAUCACAUUAAGGAUGGACUUGUCACCAAUAGCCCUCUACACAAUCCAAUCAUGCCAGGGGCGUAGUGCAGGCCACACCUGGUCUUUCUCUUACACAUAACAUAACAUACAUAUCCAUCCGUGCCGGGGGCGUAGUGCAGGCCACACCCGGACUUUCUCUUACAUUGUGCUAGGGGCGUAGUGCAGGCCACACCUGGACUUCCAUACCAUAUCAUCAUCACAUCAUAUCAUAACGUACGAGGGCUAAUGGAUCAUUCAAUGUUCAUCCGCAUCAACAUCAUAUUAUGCAAUGCAACAUAUUCGUGAAUUCUAAUGCAACAAUCUAAUAUAUCUCAUGGCAUUCG